CCAUCUUAGAAGCAGUCUUGCUGACUUUUUUCAUCCUCCUGUUUUCCAUCCCUCUUUCUUUACCAGUGCAAGUCAUAGAAACUAGAAUUCUUCUUCUUCAAGAUGCAGGCACCUGUAAUCCCAGCUGAUUGGCAGGCUGAAGCAGAAGAAUCACUUGAAACCAGAAGGCAGAGGUUGCAGUAAGAACAAUUGCUCUUGAAAACCAGCCACCAUGCUGUGAGGAAGACUAAGCAAUCCCGUGGAGAAGGCCACACAGAGAAGAACUGAAGGUCCCAGAAUGAAGUCCCUGUUGAGUUCCCAGACAACAGACACAGCACUUGGAUAGAUUUGGAAGGCAGAAUUCUUCAUUACAACUCCAAAUGAGAGGAGGCUGCCAGGCGGGGCCCCUCAGGGAAUUAUACACAGAGGUAUAAUCUUUAUGAACGUGUAUGUCUCCCUCUGCCCAUCCACCUUUUCUUCAUCGCUGUGUCUAUCAGACAGCAUUUCUACUCCAUGUAGAUAGCUGAAUUUGUAAUGAAAGGAGCACUGCACUGGUUAUCAGGAUAGUCUACAUUUAAAUCUGGACUUCAUUCUGGUUUUAAAACUAUAUAAAAGUCAUCUGGUCUUCAGAUUUCUCAGUUUCUUAGUAAGGUAAAAAGAUUGUGCUAAUCAUUCUAUUUCUGGAACUAGAACUUCAGCCACACUACUGUAAAAAGUUAAUCUGGUAUAUUUACUGCUUUAUCCCAAUACACAAAACAAUGCUUUGUAUAUAGAAGGUCCU
rnacentral:lncRNA from 13 species